GCAUCGAUGGUUCAAGUGGUAGAAUGCUCGCCCCCGCGGGCGGCCCCGGGGUUCGAUCCCGGUCUAAGCU
rnacentral:tRNA from 1 species